GACGUAGGGCGCGAGCGUUGUCCGGAUUUAUUGGGCGUAAAGAGCUCGUAGGCGGCUCGUUGCGUCGGCUGUGAAAACCCGCAGCUCAACUGUGGGCUUGCAGCUGAUACGGGCGGGCUUGGAUUCGGUAGGGGAGACUGGAAUUCCUGGUGUAGCGGUGAAAUGCGCAGAUAUCAGGAGGAACACCGGUGGCGAAGGCGGCAUCCUGGACCGACACUGACGCUGAGGAGCGAAAGCCAGGGGAGCAAACGGG
rnacentral:rRNA from 1 species